CAACCCACUGCAAGAGUUAACAUCUUCUUUGUCUUAGCUAGCUGUGUGUAGCUCACAGGCAAGCAGGAUCAGCAUUACUGUGAGCAAGAAGAAGAAGAAGAAGAAGAAGAAGAUGUUAACUCUUGCAGUGGGUUGUUCAUCAGCUGCCCUGGCGCCCAUGGUUUCUGCACUUUCCACCUAUGGCAAAGCCUUGGUUCACCUUCCAACUACACACUUUGGCUUCAAAGGAUCACAAGUGCCAUCGCAUCUCUGCAUCCCCACCACACCCAUUUCCUCUUUCAAGACUGCUGUUGCCACUGUUGACUCAAAUGAACCCAGUUCAUCCUUUCCGAAUCCUCCUGACAAGCAAGAAGCCAACAAGUACUAUUUUGUUGUUGCAAAUGCAAAAUUCAUGCUGGAUG
rnacentral:misc_RNA from 1 species